GACAGAGGGGGCAAGCGUUGCUCGGAAUUACUGGGCGUAAAGGGCGCGUAGGCGGGAUGGCAAGUCGGUCGUGAAAUCCCUCGGCUCAACUGAGGAUCGUCGAUCGAUACUGCCGUUCUUGAGGAUUGCAGAGGAGACUGGAAUUCCCGGUGUAGCGGUGAAAUGUGUAGAGAUCGGGAGGAACACCGGUGGCGAAGGCGGGUUGCUGGGCCGACACUGACGCUGAUGCGCGAAAGCCAGGGGAGCGAACGGG
rnacentral:rRNA from 1 species